rnacentral:rRNA from 1 species
UUGCGGUUAAAAAGCUCGUAGUUGGAUUUCUGCGGGAGACGAAGGGUCUACCUUACGGGUAAGUAUCUCUCAGGCUCCUGCAUCCUCAACAGGAUCGUCGCUGCGAUUCAUUUCGUGGUACGGUACUGUUGACUUUUACUUUGAGGAAAUUAGAGUGUUCACGGCAAGCAAACGCGAGUAUACAUUAGCAUGGAAUAAUAAUAUAGGACCUUGGAUCUAUUUUGUUGGUUUCUAGAACUAAGGUAAUGAUAAAUAGGGACAGUUUGGGGGCAUUUGUACUAACGCGUCAGAGGUGGAAUUCUUGGAUUGCGUUAUGACAAACUACUGCGAAAGCAUUUGCCAAGGAUGUUUUCAUUGAUCAAGAACGAAAGUAUAGGGAUCGAAGACGAUUAGAUACCGUCGUAGUCUAUACCAUAAACUAUGCCAACUAGGAAUGAGACGGAUGUAUAUUUUAUGACCCGUUUCGCGCCUUAUGAGAAAUCAAAGUUUUUGGGUUCCGGGGGGAGUAUGGUCGCAAGUCUGAAACUUAAAGGAAUUGACGGAAGGGCACCACCAGGAGUGGAGCCUGCGGCU